AUCGCUUCUCGGCCUUUUGGCUAAGAUCAAGUGUAGAAAGAAUUAGUUUCAAAUGAAAUCAAUAAAAAGUGUAAUAUGAUUUACAAUUAGCAUGUUUGCCUCCUAUUAGACCUAUAUAAAGGUUCUGUU
ensembl:snRNA U2 U2 spliceosomal RNA